rnacentral:rRNA from 1 species
CACGUAGGCACCAAGCGUUGUCCGGAUUUAUUGGGCGUAAAGGGCUCGUAGGCGGUUCGGUAAGUCGGGUGUGAAAACUUUGGGCUCAACCCAAAGCGUGCACUCGAUACUGCUGUGACUAGAGUUCGGUAGGGGAGUGGGGAAUUCCUAGUGUAGCGGUGAAAUGCGCAGAUAUUAGGAGGAACACCGGUGGCGAAGGCGCCACUCUGGGCCGAAACUGACGCUGAGGAGCGAAAGCGUGGGUAGCAAACAGG